rnacentral:sRNA from 1 species
UUUCUUGGUCAUUUAGAGGAAGUAAAAGUCGUAACAAGGUCUCCGUAGGUGAACCUGCGGAGGGAUCAUUACACAAAUAUGAAGGCGGGCUGGAACCUCUCGGGGUUACAGCCUUGCUGAAUUAUUCACCCUUGUCUUUUGCGUACUUCUUGUUUCCUUGGUGGGUUCGCCCACCACUAGGACAAACAUAAACCUUUUGUAAUUGCAAUCAGCGUCAGUAACAAAUUAAUAAUUACAACUUUCAACAACGGAUCUCUUGGUUCUGGCAUCGAUGAAGAACGCAGCGAAAUGCGAUAAGUAGUGUGAAUUGCAGAAUUCAGUGAAUCAUCGAAUCUUUGAACGCACAUUGCGCCCUUUGGUAUUCCAAAGGGCAUGCCUGUUCGAGCGUCAUUUGUACCCUCAAGCUUUGCUUGGUGUUGGGCGUCUUGUCUCUAGCUUUGCUGGAGACUCGCCUUAAAGUAAUUGGCAGCCGGCCUACUGGUUUCGGAGCGCAGCACAAGUCGCACUCUCUAUCAGCAAAGGUCUAGCAUCCAUUAAGCCUUUUUUUCAACUUUGACCUCGG